GUGCACCAGGCGAGAAACCUUCGCAAUGCGGGAAACCGCGACGAGGGGACUCCCAGUGCCUACGCUCAGCGUAGGCUGUUCCCGAGCCUAGAAAGCUCGGGGAGUAAGGGCUGGGUAAGACGGGUGCCAGCCGCCGCGGUAAUACCCGCAGCCCGAGUGGUGGCCACUAUUAUUGGGCCUAAAGCGUCCGUAGCCGGCCCGGUAAAUGCCUGGGUAAAUCGUGAGGCCUAACCUCACGAAUUCCGGGUAGACUGCCGGGCUAGGGACCGGAGGAGGGAGAGGGGUACUCCAGGGGUAGGGGUGAAAUCCUGUAAUCCCUGGAGGACCACCGGUGGCGAAGGCGCUCUCCUAGGACGGGUCCGACGGUGAGGGACGAAAGCCAGGGGAGCGAACCGGAUUAGAUACCCCUGUAG
rnacentral:rRNA from 1 species